UACGAAGGGUGCAAGCGUUAUUCGGAAUUAUUGGGCGUAAAGCGCGCGCAGGCGGAUUGAUAAGUCAGGUGUGAAAUCUCGAGGCUCAACCUCGAAACUGCGCCUGAAACUAUUAGUCUAGAGUGUUGGAGGGGGUAGGGGAAUUUCACGUGUAGGGGUAAAAUCCGUAGAGAUGUGAAGGAACACCGGAGGCGAAGGCGCCUACCUGGACAACUACUGACGCUGAGGAGCGAAAGCGUGGGGAGCGAACAGG
rnacentral:rRNA from 1 species